AUGCAGGAUUGUGGACAACCAGGAUUUACCUUAGCAGAGAGACAUCGAUUUGAUAGCAUACUAACUCAAGGGAAGCUGAUUGAUGCUUAUCGAUUUCUCCACAAGGAGAAAGAUAUGGAAGGAGGCUUUUCAUGGUCUGGCAAUCCUGUUGGCAAAUAUCGAGGUAAAAGAAUGAGGAUUGACUAUUUUAUAGUAUCUGAGAAAUUGAAGGAUAAAAUUGUUGCAUGUGAGAUGCAUGGGCAUGGGAUCGAACUUGAAGGUUUCUGCGGAAGUGAUCACUGUCCUGUUUCGCUCGUGCUUUCGGAUGAAGCAUGGCGAUCUUAGUCUUGUGUGUUGGUCUGUACAGUAGUUGACACUGACAGCUGACAAAUUUUGCGUUCGGAAGAUUGCUCCCUGAGAACCAUUUGGACAAAUUGGUUGCAGUAGAUUGUAUCUAAUUUGAUAAUGUCAUUAUAACUAUUAACACUCCUUUCCGAAAUUUCUCUGUU